CGUCCAGAGCGCGCCCCGCGCCGACCCUCGAGGAGGAGCGAGGGGAGCGCGGUUCGGGCGCCCGAGCAAGGAGUAGCUCCAGGAUUCAAAAUAUACAUAGCUAAUUUAUCACAGUCUACCUUCAACUGUUGUAAGUCACAUACGAUGAUCUGAAACCAUCCGUGGGGCGGUUGGACGCACGCGUCCACACGUGGCUUUCCGGGGUGGCGUCUUUGCUGAGCGCAGAAAUCCUGUUCCCCAGAGCCCUUUGCCGUGUUCCUCUGGGCCUACCCACCCCCGCUCCGCCCACUCCCGCUAAUGGGCAUGUUUCCGUGAACACUGAAGACGAAAAACAUGCAAUUUUGAAUGUGUCUCUUUCACCGUCACACGUUUCUUUUUAUUGUGCGUCUUGGCUGUGCCGCACUUCAAAAUUCCCAGGGACCCUCCCCAGCUCGGCUUUCAGAGGGUUUCGCACGUUUGACAACC